rnacentral:lncRNA from 1 species
UAGUAUUUUUUACUUCUUCUAAUUUUUGUACUUCCUUUUUAACUUGUUGUUUUAUUUUUUCAAUUUUCGUUUUUCUAUCUAUUUCUUCAUUUUCUUUUGUUAUUCUUAUCAUAACAGUUAAACUAUCUUCUAGUUUUACCAUUUCUUUUUCUAACAUUAAACUUAGAUUGUCACCUAUUUUCUUAUAUCUUCUUCCUAGAUUAGAAAAUAUUAUCUUUAUUUUUAAUCCGUCAUAGNN